GCCUGGAAAGCUCAUUCGGUAGAACAUCAGACUUUUAAUCUGAGGGUCCAGAGUUUAAGUCCCUGUUCGGGCG
rnacentral:tRNA from 1 species